rnacentral:rRNA from 1 species
UCAAGAUUAAGCCAUGCAUGUCUCAGUGCAAGCCGAAUUAAGGUGAAACCGCGAAUGGCUCAUUAAAUCAGUUAUGGUUCCUUAGAUGAUGCACAGUUACUUGGAUAACUGUGGUAAUUCUAGAGCUAAUACAUGCAACUCGGUCCCGACCGGCGACGGAAGGGACGCUUUUAUUAGAUCAAAACCAAUCGGUCUUCGGGCCGUUUGUCUUGGUGACUCUGAAUAAAUUAUGGCAGAUCGCACGGCCCCCGAGCCGGCGACGCAUCUUUCAAAUGUCUGCCUUAUCAACUGUCGAUGGUAGGUUCUGCGCCUACCAUGGUUGUAACGGGUAACGGGGAAUCAGGGUUCGAUUCCGGAGAGGGAGCCUGAGAAACGGCUACCACAUCCAAGGAAGGCAGCAGGCGCGCAAAUUACCCACUCCCGGCACGGGGAGGUAGUGACGAAAAAUAACGAUACGGGACUCAUCCGAGGCCCCGUAAUCGGAAUGAGUACACUUUAAAUCCUUUAACGAGUAUCCAUUGGAGGGCAAGUCUGGUGCCAGCAGCCGCGGUAAUUCCAGCUCCAAUAGCGUAUAUUAAAGUUGUUGCGGUUAAAAAGCUCGUAGUCGGACUUGUGUCCCACGCUGCCGGUUCACCGCCCGUCGGUGUUUAACUGGCAUGCACGUGCGGACGUCCUGCCGGUGGCCCGAGCCGGCGCGGGUCUCGCACCCGUCGUCCGGGGAAGGCCUAUCAUACCCGUCGCGGUGCUCUUAACCGAGUGUCUCGAUGGGCCGGCACGUUUACUUUGAACAAAUUAGAGUGCUUAAAGCAGGCAGCAUCCGCCUGAAUACCGAGUGCAUGGAAUAAUGGAAUAGGACCUCGGUUCUAUUUUGUUGGUUUUCGGAAUCCCCGAGGUAAUGAUCAAUAGGGACAGACGGGGGCAUUCGUAUUGCGACGUUUAGAGGUGAAAUUCUUGG